rnacentral:misc_RNA from 1 species
UCGGACUACUCGGGUUUCUAAUCCUGUUUGCUCCCCACGCUUUCGAACCUCAGCGUCAGCAUUGUUCCAGAAAGCCGCCUUCGCCACUGGUAUUCCUUCCGAUAUCUACGCAUUUCACCGCUACACCGGAAAUUCUACUUUCCUCUCCCAUACUCUAGUUAAAUAGUUUCGGAUGCAGUUCCCAGGUUGAGCCCGGGGAUUUCACAUCCGACUUAAUUAACAGCCUACGCUCGCUUUACGCCCAGUAAUUCCGAUUAACGCUCGCACCUCCCGUAUUACCGCGGCUGCUGGCACGGAAUUAGCCGGUGCUUCUUGUAUAGGUUACGUCAAGGCUUGAAGGUAUUAACCUCAAGCUUUUCUUCUCUAUUGAAAGUGCUUUACAACCCUAGAGCCUUCUUCA